rnacentral:rRNA from 1 species
CCUGGCUCAGAUUGAACGCUGGCGGCAGGCCUAACACAUGCAAGUCGGACGGUAGCACAGGAGAGCUUGCUCUUUGGGUGACGAGUGGCGGACGGGUGAGUAAUGUCUGGGAAACUGCCCGAUGGAGGGGGAUAACUACUGGAAACGGUAGCUAAUACCGCAUAACGUCGCAAGACCAAAGUGGGGGACCUUCGGGCCUCACACCAUCGGAUGUGCCCAGAUGGGAUUAGCUAGUAGGCGGGGUAAUGGCCCACCUAGGCGACGAUCCCUAGCUGGUCUGAGAGGAUGACCAGCCACACUGGAACUGAGACACGGUCCAGACUCCUACGGGAGGCAGCAGUGGGGAAUAUUGCACAAUGGGCGCAAGCCUGAUGCAGCCAUGCCGCGUGUAUGAAGAAGGCCUUCGGGUUGUAAAGUACUUUCAGCGGGGAGGAAGGCGAUACGGUUAAUAACCGCGUCGAUUGACGUUACCCGCAGAAGAAGCACCGGCUAACUCCGUGCCAGCAGCCGCGGUAAUACGGAGGGUGCAAGCGUUAAUCGGAAUUACUGGGCGUAAAGCGCACGCAGGCGGUCUGUUAAGUCAGAUGUGAAAUCCCCGGGCUCAACCCGGGAACUGCAUUUGAAACUGGCAGGCUUGAGUCUCGUAGAGGGGGGUAGAAUUCCAGGUGUAGCGGUGAAAUGCGUAGAGAUCUGGAGGAAUACCGGUGGCGAAGGCGGCCCCCUGGACGAAG